rnacentral:lncRNA from 1 species
AUCUAACCUCGGGCUAUUUGAAUGAUCGAGAUACAUUAACACAGCAAAAGAAAAAUACUUCAUCGAGUAAAAUACAUGUUCAAAUUACAAAACAGAAGGGCCAUCAUCAUACAAAAAACAAACAAAAACUAAUCUAAGUCCUCGGCCCUUUCUCCCGAGGCUGUGCUCCCCUGCUCCUCCACCGCGUCCUCGCCGUCAACAUCGACCUCUUGGUCCUCGACGGUUUCCUCGGACUCUGACAGCUCGAGAGUAUCAGCAAUCUCGGGG